rnacentral:piRNA from 1 species
UGGAAGAAGGAGGCUUUGAGGGUGAGGAGU